UACGGGAGGGUGCAAGCGUUUAUCCGGAUUUACUGGGUUUAAAGGGUAGCGUAGGUGGGAAGGUAAGUCAGUGGUGAAAUCCCCGAGCUUAACUUGGGAACUGCCAUUGAUUACUAUCUUUCUUGAAUACCUUGGAGGUGAACUGGAAUAUGUCAUGUAGGCGGUGAAAUGCUUAGAUAUGACAUAGAACACCAAUUGCGAAGGCAGCUCAC
rnacentral:rRNA from 1 species